rnacentral:rRNA from 1 species
GACGAACGCUGGCGGCGUGCCUAAUACAUGCAAGUCGAGCGAGCGGAACCAACAGAUUUACUUCGGUAAUGACGUUGGGAAAGCGAGCGGCGGAUGGGUGAGUAACACGUGGGGAACCUGCCCCUAAGUCUGGGAUACCAUUUGGAAACAGGUGCUAAUACCGGAUAAUAAAGCAGAUCGCAUGAUCAGCUUUUGAAAGGCGGCGUAAGCUGUCGCUAAGGGAUGGCCCCGCGGUGCAUUAGCUAGUUGGUAAGGUAACGGCUUACCAAGGCGACGAUGCAUAGCCGAGUUGAGAGACUGAUCGGCCACAUUGGGACUGAGACACGGCCCAAACUCCUACGGGAGGCAGCAGUAGGAAAUCUUCCACAAUGGACGCAAGUCUGAUGGAGCAACGCCGCGUGAGUGAAGAAGGUUUUCGGAUCGUAAAGCUCUGUUGUUGGUGAAGAAGGAUAGAGGUAGUAACUGGCCUUUAUUUGACGGUAAUCAACCAGAAAGUCACGGCUAACUACGUGCCAGCAGCCGCGGUAAUACGUAGGUGGCAAGCGUUGUCCGGAUUUAUUGGGCGUAAAGCGAGCGCAGGCGGAAAAAUAAGUCUAAUGUGAAAGCCCUCGGCUUAACCGAGGAACUGCAUCGGAAACUGUUUUUCUUGAGUGCAGAAGAGGAGAGUGGAACUCCAUGUGUAGCGGUGGAAUGCGUAGAUAUAUGGAAGAACACCAGUGGCGAAGGCGGCUCUCUGGUCUGCAAC